CUCUUCUUUCUCAUAUCAUUCUCAUUCACCCAUUCAUCAUCACAACCACACUGUCUUCUUUCUCUUUCUCUCUCUAUCUCUAUCUCUCAGUUUCUCUCUCUCAGACCCCCCUUGAACAUAGCCGAAACUCAUGGGGGACACAGUGAGAAGAGAGUGAGUGAGUGAGUUAGCCAUGAAAACAAAAGUUUUUCUCUUUCUCUGUCUUUCUCUUCCUCUAAGAGGUUCCAGAAGAAGGGCCAUUUUUGGGAAGCUUUGUCUUUUGAGGGGAAUGUUGUCUGGCUCGAGGACCCUUCAUCUUCAUCUUGUGUAUGCGCAUCCCUCUCUUUGUAGAGUGCUAUGCCUGUGCUCAAGGAAUGUAUAGUGUUGUCGGACCAGGCUUCAUUCCCCCCAAUUAUAUGCUUCCAAAUUCAUUUUCCGGCCAAACUCCGAGGUAUCUUCCGGCUGAGACCUACAAAUAUUCCUAUUCUUAUUCCUGUUCCUGUUCCUUUACAGACUGAUGUUGGUGUUUCUCAACGGAUAUUAUUUCGUCGAGAUCGAGCCGUGGCGAUAUAGUGAAAUAAGAUUUGUUUGUAGCUUUUGCUGAUGAAAUGUUUUGUAGGUUUGCUUGGUAUCUCCUCUAUGUUUUUUUGGAACUGUGGAUUAGUGUAAAAGUUUUGUUUUUUUCUUAAAUAUAGGUAGAUCUUAGUCGUGGGGUUGGGUUUUUGGAUGAAUUAAAGAUGGUGGUAGUUUGCAGAUUGGUGUAAUGAUGAAGCAUUUUGACCCGUUUUCACUUGGCAAAAGGUUUUCAUCAUUACCUCCUUUUCGUUUCUUUCUUUUUCUCUGAUCAAGUUAUGAUGGUGUUUUUGUUGUCAGGGCGUAACUACUUUUUUUUUUUUCUUGCAUCUUCAUCAUUAGCUAGAUCUUCUCCCAAUUAUGGUUUCCAGUAUCCGAUCUGUCUGUCUCUGCCAUGUUUUCUCAGAUCUGGCCAACUUUGAAACUCAGUUAGACAUUCUCCUCUUUUUCAAGUCCCUCCCUCCUCAUCACCCUCCUUCUUUUUCCAUUUUUUUCUUUCUCUCUCUACCUGAUUCCUCUCUCACCCUCUCUUUAGGGUUUCCUGGCCUAUGUUCUGUCUCUAAUCUCCAUCACUUUGCUGGCCCUGGUGUCUUCCAUGAAGAACCAAAUGGGUGACCCCUUUUACCAGUAUUAUUAUGUUUCUUAGUCAUUUCACCAUUGUAAAACCGUGUGGUCAAAUCGAGGCCAAAUUUGGUUAAAUGUGCCAUGUGUUACUCGCAUGCAUAUGAUUCUGAUUCAAGAGCCUUGUAGACUCCGCCCUCUCUCUUUAUUGGAGUCUUGUGCUUCUGUCUCUUAAGCAUUUAUCAAUCAUGUGAUCUUUUUUUCCAUACUAAACUACAGAUCCUUCAAUCUAUUCUUGUUACUGUGGGUAGCAUUUGGCUUCUUUCUAUGGCUUCUGUAAGGGCACACGCUCAGAUCUACACUUUUCUCUGUUUGCUUUGGCAUUCUUUUCAUAUCAAUUUGCAAUUAAAAAAUGAACAGAUCUGAGCACCAACAACACAGAAUAGAAAAAAGCUUUUUUUAAAUAUGGUUGUAUCUUCUUGUGUGUGCUGCUGAGUUUUUCAAUGGGCAACUUUAAAUUUUCCGUCUUUUGAAUGUAUCUCAUUUGAUAGCUGGAACCCUAAUUUCCUGCACAAUCAAAAAAACAAUGUGCAAGAUGGUUCCUUUUGUAUUGGUCUAGUUUCGGUGUUGGCAGAGAAGAAGCAAGACGAAACGAAAGUCCCAUCAUUAAUAGGUACAGUUCUUCAAGUAAAAGGUAAUUAAUUUGUUCAUUAAGGAUAAUGAAUCUUGAUCAUGAAGCAUUACAAUACAAUUGUGUAUUUUAGUCCUCCCUCUAAUCACAGAAGCAGCAAAAAGAAAAAAGUGAAUGCUUCGUAAGGAAGCAAAGAUAUCUUAUGCAGGUCAGUGUUUGAACAACUGUACAUUGUCCCAGCAGGCAUCACUGCAGUGUUAUCGAGGAUUUGGAAGAGACUACAGCAUCAUAUUAAGCUUGAUUCAGAAUAGAAGACAAAAAGAGUCUGUAGAAAGCAAGGGGCAUUGGGGAACACGAAUGACAUAAUCACAGUGCUCAAAGUUCAUACAGCACUACUUUUCCUUGUCACCAUUGUUGUUCAUAUAUUCAUACUUGCACGCAAAUGUGUACACUUUAUUAUUUUCAACGCAAUGUAUCCAACCAAAGUCUCUUGUUAGAAUAUUAUUUGAAUUUUGAUUUUGAUCUGAAGCUAUGACCUCGUGAAUCGUCAUAAAAUACAAAACAGCAUACUAUGCGUGGAAUAUAUUGUCUUUUUCUUUUUCAAAA